rnacentral:rRNA from 1 species
GGUGUGAAUUGCAGAAUCCCGUGAACCAUCGAGUCUUUGAACGCAAGUUGCGCCCAAGGCCAUCAGGCCAAGGGCACGCCUGCCUGGGCAUUGCGAGUCAUAUCUCUCCCUUAACGAGGCUGUCCAGGCAUACUGUUCAGCCGGUGCGGGUGUGAGUUUGGCCCCUUGUU